GUGCGCCAGAAUAUUUGAAUGUCUCUUCUCAUAUCAAAUUGGCUGAUUAAGGAGUUUGAAAUCAAAUUGAGAAACGGAGAGAUUGAAGAUUUCAGAGACAGCAGGGAGACAUUCAAAUGCUAAAGAGAAAGAAAAGUUGAAUUUAUGUGUUCAAAUGGUAAAACACGAACAAAGAGACGAAGAAGAAGAAGAUGGAAACG
rnacentral:misc_RNA from 1 species